rnacentral:snoRNA from 1 species
ACGACCUUACUUGAACAGGAUCUGUUCUAUAGGCUCGUACCUCUGUAUCCUUGAGUUCUAAGAAGACAGGAACUAAAGUCUGGUGGAUGAAGCAUGAUCUUGUGAUCAGAGCGUGAUUAACGGCUGGUGUGCCUUCUCUCAGGAUUAGAUUCAUCCUUAGCUGUAGAGGAUCGUUCCCAGUCAUUAUGUUUGGGAUGGUCACAGGGUUGUCUGACAGACU